ensembl:lncRNA
AUGAAUGGUGUCUCCUCUCAAGAUAUAUCCAGUCCAGGCAGGGGAAGGUCCGGUCGGAGUCGAGGACGACCCAAAGGCUCUGGAGGAGCCGGGAAGUCAUCUUCUGUGAGGAAGGGAAGAGGACGGAAGUCCACCGCGGGCAGUGCUGCAGCAAUGGCGGGGGCGAUGGCAGGGGCGGCAGCAGCGUCUGCAGCUGCAUAUGCCGCAUACGGCUACAGUGUGUCCAAAGGUAUUCCAGCAACUGGUUCCUUACAACCGGCUCUCAUUCGGUCUUCAACCACACCUGCCUUUGUUCCAGCUGGCACCUCCUCCCCAAAGGCUAAAGGGAGCUCUGUGGCCACCAACUCACAGACUUUAGCUCAUGGCAGUUCACAAAGCCAACACAACCCCACUAAGAGAAGCAAAGGACCCAGCAAUCACAGUGGGCGGUAG